rnacentral:rRNA from 1 species
UACGAAGGUGGCAAGCGUUGUUCGGAUUUACUGGGCGUACAGGGAGCGUAGGCGGUUGGAUAAGCCCUCCGUGAAAUCUCCAGGCUUAACCUAAGAAGUGCAGGAGGGACUUGUCAGCUAGAGGAUGGGAGAGGAGCGCGGAAUUCCCGGUGUAGCGGUGAAAUGCGUAGAGAUCGGGAGGAAGGCCGGUGGCGAAGGCGGCGCUCUGGAACAUUUCUGACGCUGAGGCUCGAAAGCGUGGGGAGCAAACAGG